rnacentral:rRNA from 1 species
GAUGAACGCUGGCGGCGUGCCUAAUACAUGCAAGUCGAGCGAACAGACGAGGAGCUUGCUCCUCUGACGUUAGCGGCGGACGGGUGAGUAACACGUGGAUAACCUACUUAUCAGACUGGGAUAACUUCGGGAAACCGGAGCUAAUACCGGAUAAUAUAUUGAACCGCAGGGUGCGAUAGUGAAAGACGGCUUUGCUGUCACUUAUAGAGGGAUCUGCGCUGCAUUGGCUAGUUGGGAAGGUAACAGCUUAUCAAGGCAACGAUGCGUAGCCGAACUGUGGGAGUGGUCGCCCACCCUGGAAGUGGGACGCGCUCCUUGCUCCUACGAUAGGGAGCAGUCGGCAAUCUUCCGCAAUAGGCGAGAGCUUGACGGAGCAACGCCGCGUGAGUGAUGAAGGUCUUGGGUUCGUAAAGCUCUGUUAUUAGGUAAGAACAGAUGUGGCAGUAACUGUGCACGUCUUGACGGUACCUAAUAAAGAAGCAACGGCUAACUACGUG